UACGGAGGGUGCAAGCGUUAUCCGGAUUUACUGGGUUUAAAGGGUGCGUAGGUGGGUUGGUAAGUCAGUGGUGAAAUACUUUCGCUUAACGAAGGAACUGCCAUUGAUACUAUCAGUCUUGAAUACAGUGGAGGUAGGCGGAAUGCGUCAUGUAGCGGUGAAAUGCUUAGAUAUGACGCAGAACACCAAUUGCGAAGGCAGCUUGCUACACUGUUAUUGACACUGAGGCACGAAAGCGUGGGGAUCAAACAGG
rnacentral:rRNA from 1 species